rnacentral:rRNA from 1 species
CCUACGGGAGGCAGCAGUGGGGAAUAUUGGACAAUGGGCGCAAGCCUGAUCCAGCAAUACCGCGUGAGUGAUGAAGGUCUUCGGAUUGUAAAGCUCUUUUAGUGGAGAAGAUAAUGACGGUAUCCACAGAAAAAGCACCGGCAAACUUCGUGCCAGCAGCCGCGGUAAUACGAAGGGUGCUAGCGUUGUUCGGAAUCAUUGGGCGUAAAGCGUACGUAGGCGGUUUAGUAAGUCGAUUGUGAAAUACCCGAGCUCAACUUGGGAAUUGCAAUCGAAACUGCUUUGCUAGAGUUUAGUGGGGGAUAGUGGAAUUCCUAGUGUAGGGGUGAAAUCCGUAGAUAUUAGGAGGAACAUCAGUGGCGAAGGCGACUAUCUACGCUAAUACUGACGCUAAGGUACGAAAGCGUGGGGAGCAAACAGGAUUAGAUACCCUGGUAGUCCACGCAGUAAACGAUGAGUGCUAGUUGUCGGGGUCUUAGACUUCGGUGGCGAAGCUAACGCGUUAAGCACUCCGCCUGGGGAACUCGGUCGCAAGCUAAAACUCAAAUGAAUUGAGGCUGAAGACNGCGAGACGACGACGAGGAGAG